rnacentral:rRNA from 1 species
GACGAACGCUGGCGGCGUGCUUAACACAUGCAAGUCGAGCGGUAAGGCCCUUUCGGGGGUACGACGAGCGGCGAACGGGUGAGUAACACGUGGGUGACCUGCCCUCAGCUCUGGGAUAAGCCUGGGAAACCGGGUCUAAUACUGGAUAUGACUCCAUGACGCAUGUUGGUGGGGUGGAAAGCCUUGUGCGGCUGAGGAUGGGCCCGCGGCCUAUCAGCUUGUUGGGUGGGGUGAGGCCUACCAAGGCGACGACGGGUAGCCGGCCUGAGAGGGCGACCGGCCAUACUGGGACUGAGACACGGCCCAGACUCCUACGGGAGGCAGCAGUGGGGAAUCUUGCGCAAUGGGCGAAAGCCUGACGCAGCGACGCCGCGUGAGGGAUGACGGCCU